rnacentral:snRNA from 1 species
AACUGGCUUGUGGCAGCCA